CACGGUUCGAGUCUGCACUCCCGCUUCGACCUGCAUUCGGGUGCGGCUGAGUGCCCGCCUCGGCUUGGGUUCGCAUUUGGGGUUGCGUUUGCAUUCAGGUUUGGGCUUGGAGUUAGAUUUGGGCGUGGGUUUGAAUUUGGUUUUGGAUUUCAGCUUGGGUUCAGGCUUGGAUUUAGAUGUGAGUUUAGGUUUAGAUUUGGGCUUGGAUUUGGAUUUGAGUUUAGGCUUGGAUUUGGAUUUGAUUUUAGACUUGGAUUUGGGCUUGGUUUGGAUUUGGAUUUGAGUUUAGGCGUGGAUUUGGGCAUGGGUUUAGGUUUGGAUUUGGGCUUGAGUUUGGGUUUGGAUUUAGAUUCAAGUUUGGGCUUGGAUUUAGACUUGGGCAUAGGUUUGAGUUUGGAUUUGAACUUGGAUCUCAGCUUGGAUUUGGAUUUGGGCUUGGGUUUAGGCUUGGACUUGGAUUCAGGCUUGGGUUUGAUCUUGGGCUUGGAUUUAGACUUGGUUUUGGGUUUAGGUUUGGGCUUAAGUUUGAUCUUGGAUUCAGACUUGGAUUUGGGUUUGGUCUUCGGUGGAAGCUUGUCGUGGGUUUGGACUUGGGCACAUCCCUGCUGUUGCACAGUCCUUGGAGGAAAGGGGCACCCGUCGCUGUGGAGCCUGGGAGCGAGGGGCUCGGCCCCUGAAUCGGACCCUGCUGGACCCGAAAUGCUGGAGGCUGCCAGCGAGAGACUGGGAGGGAGGAGGCACAGGAGUUUUCCAGUCUCCAACCAGAGAGCUACGUUUUUAUGUUGUAAAGUGGAGGCCGUGUUUAUAGCAUUUGUUGAGACCACAUCAGAGCUGGCAAAACUUCACGUUGGAUCACUUCUUCUCUGCAGGGAGCUGGCGUGAGGGUGUCGUGACAACCCAAAGACGCGCCAAGGCCUACAGCAACUGGAAGAUGAGCAAGCACUGUUGAAAAUGUAUCGUGGAGGGCAAUCUCCUCUGCCCAUCUUACUGACCUACUUAUCGUUACACAGAGAUACGCAUUAUUGGCUGGCUCUCACCACAGUCACAUGAAAGUAUUCUGAAUAUCUCUGCCAGCCCCGUUGUGAUCCCACGCUGAUACUAUCAGGAGCUUCUUCACAGGCAGCAAUGUUUCUGGACUACUAAAACCUGGUGAAGGGGGGAGGAGAAACAGGGCCCACUUGCUGCUGUGGGAGUACACAAGCGAGCAAAAGCUGUGGGAGAAGAAAGCACACGCUCUGACACAAAUAUACACGUGGCAGGGUGGAGGUGGGUGUUAAAAGGAGGAAAAGCAAUAGAUUAAAACAAUUCAGGCUCCUAAAUGCUGCCUGGCAAACAGGGCUUCAUGUCCAGGCUGAGCCCGCAGCCCAUGUGGAUCAGUUUGCGGAGUCGGUGCCUGUGUGGAUGUGAGAGAGGCAGGGAAAAAUAGGUAGAUGAUUUAGUUUCUUGGGCCCAGAUCCUGCAUCUGAAUCCAUGCGGGCUGCCCCGGCACCUGUGUGAUGUCCCUGGGAAACUGGUGGCUAUGAAGGAUGUUAGCUACCUUUGGGACGUCAAGCCCAAUCCAAGAUCAAACCCAAACCUAAAUCCAAGCCCAAAUCCAAAUCCAAGAUCAAAUCCAAGUCCAAACCCAAGCUCAAACCAAGAGUGAAUCCAAGUCCAAGCCCAAGCCUAAACCCAAGCUCUUCCUCAAGUGUCCAAGCUCCGCCUUGCUGGACUUGGAUUAACUUUCCCCUUUUUAAAGUUUCUCUCCAAGUUUCCUUAUCCCCUCAUUUCCAAGGGCAUUCCUGCUCCCCCAUCAGAGCUUGUUUGCAUAAAAACCGAAACGUGGAGGGCAAAAGUUGUGUUGAUUUUGGCCGCAGGCGGUUGAAUUGGCCGGAGUAAGGACACCUGCUUUCUGUCACUGAGCCCCACGCUCUCUGUGGACCCAUCUCUAAUCCGUACAGCAUAUGUCCCUGUAAAUGCUUUCCAAAGCGCUGCAGUUCUUCACGCCUUAAAUCCUGCCUCCAAUAACUCCCAGGGAGCUGAUUUUCAGGGCCCACCUGACAGUUUCUCCCAUUUCUCUGCAAUUCGAUGUCUGCUGCUGGAGGUCUGGAAUAUCCGAAGCACCCACACUAUCCCAAGGGGUUCCCAGUUUGCAUCGUAGUCAGGAUUACUGUGUGCCACCCCCCUGAGCUGGACUCUGCUUUCACUGCACCUUGUUUUGGCACUGGUGGCAUUACUACUGCUUUGCACCAGGUUCAGAGAGGGUGGAAUCAGGCCCUGAGUCCUCAGCAGGUCUUUUCAAAAUAGCAAACACUACCAUUGGCAGUAAAAAAUCACAAGGAGAUUGAGAGCAGGUAAUGGGAAAGUGGACGUUUUACUUCAAUCUUCCUUUUUCAGAUGCAGCAGCCUUGUGUUGAGUCAGGAGCACCCUGAGUUCAGUGAGAGGAGCAGGCCUUUCCCACGUGGGCAUUUCUCAGAAAAGGGGAUCUGAGAACUAAGCUGCUUCGAUGCUGGAAAAGGGAGACAAGUGCAGCUGUUAUUCUUCUUACUCCUGGUCUAUAGUAUUAUACCAUCCAAUAUCAUCUCACAACUGAUCUCCUGAGUCUCCCCAGUGCUAUCAAGAAACACUACUGUAUUAGCCUCUAGAUACUAUAUUAUAUUAAGCCUUUCAGUUUACAUCAUAUAAAGCUUUCCAGUUCCUCUGAUUGGAAAUGUGAACUGUACGGAUGAAGUUUGUGGGACUCUGGAAAGCCCCGCUGUUCAUGUUAACCUGUGAUAGCCCUUUGCAUUCUCCUCUGACAUUUGCUUUUUGGCAAUGGGGUAAGCAAGCAAGCCACGACUGAUCUAUCACGCUGGAGCUCACGUUAGGUUCUCGGCUCUGCUUGCAAGACUGGACUGCCAUUAUUCAAAUAAAAUUCAAAUUCCAAGACAAAAGAGUCACUGGCAGAAAAUAAUGGCAGCAAAUAUAGUAUCAAGCAGCGAGUCUUUCACAUGCUUGUUUAUAAUUCUCUUUUAAAUAUUUAUUCCCUAGCUUGAGCAACAUGGGGGUGGAUCUUAACCAUCAUCAGUAGCUAAUAAACACAGAGAAGGGAGUAAUUUCUGAUGCUGAAUUCAAAGCUGGGACAUGGUCCUGCACAUCAGUAAGUGGAGAUUUAAGAAUCACUGAAAUGCAGGUGGUGCUGAGGUCGAAUGAGCAGGGAGAGACCUUUUCCUGCCCCUCCUCGUCUGAAUGAGAUUUAGCUAAAUAUAUGCACACUUACAUGCUUUUAGCAGAACUCUCUAGGUGGUUCGGUGUAUUGUGCAUAUUUAAAAUUGCAAUGGGACGACUUAGAUUUAUUCCAAAGUGCCUUUGAGAUGUGCUAGAUGCACAGAUCCCUGUAAUUCGGGCAAAGCCUACAUCCAGCUGGGCCCUAUUCUGCAUGGGCGCUACUACCAAAUCCUGGAUACUGCUCCCUUUUAGGGGUCCCUGGUACCCACACAGUCUUCAUCCAUUCAGUGCAGCUUAGUAUGAAUAUAACUAGCUAGCUAGAUAGCUUUGCACUGUAUUUGCUGUGAUUGUUCAGUCUCUCUCUCCCCCUUCCUUGAGCACGGCUAUCGAAAAUGAAUGCUCCUUCAUUCUUGCGGUGUGAGAGAAGUGACAGUUACACAGAAACACGGCCUUGGCAUGUAAAGAGCGGUGCAGGCCAGGGGAAUUUCCUGUGACUUCAAUCAGGCCGGUCGUGGGGGUGGAGGUGGCAGCUCUGGGAGGACUCUGCUUUGCCAUUUCGCCUCGUGAUUCAUUGUGAAACCACGACUCUCCCCUUCACUUCUAUUUAUUUAGCUUGGAUUUAUUAGCUCCCAUGGAGGAGAGAAAGCAGCAAGCGGCAAGCUCUUCUUGAUGAAUGGUCUCACAUCGAGAAGAGAGAGAGGAAACACCUUGCGUGCAGAGGAUCCCGUUAUGCUCCACGCUGCCUCGCAGAGCAUCUACCCUUGACUCGCUGCCGGGCCUCUGCCAGCUCCCACCCCGUGGCCUGCCUCGCGCCACCUCCCGCCAAGGGCACUGUGUUGAAAGUAGCAGCUGGUUACGUGGCCUUAAAAAUAAAAGCAGCAGGAAGCGACUAGCAGUGCUUCUGCCUCGGCGGCGUCAGAGCGCGGACGAGCAUCGCUGAGCUCAGAAACUCCCGACAGCUCAGCCUGCCUCCCGCUGCUGGCAGGAGCUACAAAACCCGAGACCAGUCGGUCCACCGCAGGACUCUCCCCGCACCAGAGCUGAUCCAGGCAGGGGCUGGGCUGUGUUGGAUGGGAUGUCUUCAUGCCCUGCUUCCUAGCCGCCGGCUUGUUGUGAUGCCAAAGCCAAGGCAGCACAGGACAUGCGCUCAGCCGCGACACACGUGGAGAAGAUGCCUUGGGCCAAACAAACAGCCUCUCUCACUCUAUUUUGCUUCUCAUUGAUUGAUUCCUAUUAAUGACUCCAGCUAAAAUAUUGUGUAGCUGCUCCCUGCCUGAGAGAAUCAAUGGAGCGGCGUUAGCGAGCAAUGCAGAGGAAGGAGCUCCCAGGUCAGCUCUCCUGGACAGCCAUCUGCGGGGUGCUCCAUCCGCAUCUUGCUGGGACCCGUCUCCUUCUUUCAGGGGAGAAACCAAGCCUGCCCUCGAGUCUUUCACCAGGACUAACACGCAUCGCCGACUUGAUGCGAUACGUAAACAGUAAGGGGCCUUUUAAGCCGAUCGACAGUAUUGGAAAACUUCCCGUGUGUCUUCAGAGAUGGGGUCAAACUCUCAUUAGUUUCUAAAAGCUUGGAACCUUUCUCUUAUGGAUUGAGGAACCUGAACUGUGGCGCUGGGGAAAUUCAAUUAGUUACAACUGAUUUUAACCCGUGCUCGUCCCCGGAGGUGUCCCAAUCCGCCGGCAGCUGUGCUUGGACCUCGAGGCACUUUCUGCCCCUGCCUCGGGCUAGCUGGCCAGCUGCCGACUCGGGCUCCAGAUCCAAACUCUCCUCCCGGCGUUCAGAUGCGGUUCCACCGUGUGCAUCCGUGGCGGAGAAUAACUCUCACCUUGCUCCGCAGUGCCCGAGGAACGGUAUCCUCCGAUUACCCGCCGGUCAAGUCUCAGCUGGGACUCGCCUCGCUUGUGCUGGGGCUUGCCCGUGGCUGUGUCAGAGGAAAAGCGGGAAGCCUCCAGCAAAUAACAUGACGUCAGUGCCACCGCACGAAGGCCCCGAAUCCAUGAAACGGGGGCUCUGCUCAUGCUGCUCUUUGGAGAAUGGUUGCUACAUAUUCCUGGCAGUGGAGAGGCUGCAUCACCUGUUUGUGCCUCUAUUUUCCUACCUGUAAAAUGGGGCUAAUGAGUAUCACCUUCCUUUGUAAAGCACUUGGAGAGGUGAGGAGCUCAGUGUGCUCACAGCCCUUCCACAAUGAGAUUCCUGAGCCAUCAAGCCAAGAGUCUCAAUGAGAGAGGAAGGGAAGUCCAGCAAAUACAUGCAGGCUGCUUUGCGACCAAAACCCCUUUCAAUUCGCUUGCUGGCUACAUGCCCUUCUGUUUCCCUUCCUCUGGAAACUGUAGUAUUAGGGGACUAAGAGUGAGACGAGGCGGCCAGUUGCUUUCCCCAGGGCCAGAGACCAGCUGUGAACGCACACGCUGGCUCCUGCUGACUGUGGCUCCCACCAACCCUUCAUGUUAUAAACCCUCUGGCACGAUAUUCAACAUAUGCCUGCAGACUUUGUCACCCAAACGUGAGCAUCCUCCUAAGACCUUGGACACGGCGUGAAUGGCCUUGAGCUGGUGUGCGACACUCAGGGCCUGGCCACGUGUUCAAAUGAAAGCUGGGUAGAAACCAGCUAUAGAGGUGUCGUACAUUUUCAAGCACAAACUUGGUAGCUGGUUGGCUCUUCUUAUAGCUGCCUAGUCGUGUGUGUGAUGUGAGCGUUACUUUGCAAGUGUGGCCAGUCUAAAUGUAUUGCACGCUUCACCUGUUCAUUGCGUGAUGUAUGUAACGUGCAGCAGGGGCACCAAGAAGGGGAAGGCACUGCAGACAGGAGAUGCUGAGGCUGCUCUAUGUCACACCAGGGCCUUGACAUAGCUCCAGAGUAUGGAAAGCCCAGAGCUGGCUUGAAACCCCUCUUAUUCCACCCUGCCUUGUCGUGGGAGUAAAAUAAUGGAGAAUCUGCCCUGCCAACACUCUGGGUGAUUAACUCUGGCCUUUAUCUGAGCGCUGGGAGCUUCCGUCCCCCCGCCCCGUAUCCCUCGUGCAGAUGGGCCGCUUGCAAGACCGUCAGCACGACUUGCUGUCACGCAUCUCUUUAAUGCCUAAGGUGGCAGGGUGUCCUGCUGAGACCAGCGAUUGUCACCGAAUCAAAGGGAGCUGGAGAGAGCCGGAGGGAACACAAAAGAGCUGCAGAUGACAGGAUCUCGCUUGUGUGAUGGAGGCGGCUGCAUGCAUGUGAGCCCCCGCUGCUCACAGGAUGGCAAAGCCCAAUCCUGUCCAUUCAAUUCUAUGCAAUUAAAAAAAAAAAUCAACCCAUUAGGGUCCUCUCCUCUGCUUUGGCUUCUCUAUUGGCACCUUUGAAGAGCUUUGAUAUCCACCCCAUGUGCUCCUGGCCAGAUGCAGUGGCUCCCGGGGCAGGGGAAAGACAGGGCUCAGAGGACAAGAGGUUUCUGAGCUGGGAGGGAAGCAUACUGCUACGGCGCAGUCGCCUGCCUGUCUCCGGUGGAUCCCUGCAGUCUUGUGCUGCGGCAGAGCUGCCGGGACCAACGGAGGAGAUGGCUUACCCCGCUGUGCCUGGCAUGGGAGAUGCAGGGAGAAUGCAAGCCAGAGCCUGGCUGGGGUGGUAGCUUUCCCAGGCUGUGCGUGCUCGUGCCCUUUGUGCAUGGGUGGCUGUGCAUUUGUAAGCACCAGUGCAGGCUUGUGUGUGUGUGUGUGUGGGGGGGGGGAGAUUGCAUGCCCCAGAUGGUUGAGUGCAUGUGUGCAUGCACACGUGUUCACAUGUGUGCAUACAGCCAUGAGACCACACAUCAGUGUUUCAGGGCCAGUUUCUAGCCUCAUCCCAGCACCGCCUGGCAAACCAACCCUCCUGAGCCAGGACGUCGCUUCCAGGCAGCCCCGACAACUCAGUGCAGCCGCUCUUGGCGGAGGGAAUGAGAAACAUGAGGCACAGAAGCAGCUUCCCCUUCUCUUACGUCCUACUCAUCAUCAUCUCUCCCUGCUUCCCUGCCAAGAGCCAUCGGGAGCAGUUAGCGUGAUGAAAGCCACAUGACUUGGGGGAUUGGGACUAAAAACCAUAGACCCACGGCAGAUAAGAGACACAUUUGGCGUUUCCUCCUCUGAGCUGACAGCUCUUCCCAGGCCUCCCAUGGAAGGGGAUGUUAUCCGCCAACCUUUCCUUGCAUUGCCAGUUAACUGUAGGCAUCAAAUGAGAAUUGUUAUCGUGAUCACGAGGCUCUGAGGAGCGAGACCCAUCGAUCUAGGCCCUUGGCAAUCUGGAAAGAAAAGAACGAGAUGCAAUGAGCAGUCCCUUCUGCAUGCUCAGCCCUCCAAAUGCAGCUCUCUGCCUGCCACGUCGAGUCAAUAGAGGAGAAGCACUGGGGAGAUGAAGACGGGCAUUCACAACCCCGUGAGCCGCGUGUGUUUUUUCCCAGUAGACCAGCCCUUCCCGGAGCGGUGAUCUUUCAUGGGUUGUGCAGACGCGCGGAGAACUGGCGCUCAGUCUCAGAUUUCAUUUCCUGCCUCCAUGCCUCUGCAGCUUCAUUGUAAUGAUAUUGUAAGCUAUUCAUUGCGCUGCCUCGUGCCGUCCAGGAGAAAUCACUUUAUUGUCAGAGCAAGUCAUUGCUCAGGGCUCCUCUCUGACUGCCAGGGAGACAGCAGCGCUUCACAGGCAUAAGGCAUCUCAGUGCUUUCCAUCUCGCUCCCGGGACCAGCGAUGGAGCUGCAAGCAGCCUCUGCUCCUCCAUCACCGGGGGAAGACACGUGGGUCAGUGUGCACAGUCGUGCACAAAUGCAUCAUAUACAUGGGACAAAUGCCAAUAAAUCUACGCCCGUGUGCUAGGGAAGGGACAACCCAGGAGCAACGGGCUGACUGGCUGAUGCACGUAUAGCUUUGUAGGCACAUGUGGGCAGUAGCCAUGUGUGUAUAAGUGUGUGUAUAGCUGUGGACAUCGGUUGUAGUUGUGCAUCCAACUCUGCAUACAGACCCGUCAUGGUUGACUGUGUGCAUCUAUAUACUGCCUGUGAGCAUCUAGUUCUGCGUGUGCCUACAUAAGAAUUGCCAUGUACUGGGUCAGUCCUAGGUCCUUCUAGCCCAGCAUCCUGUGUCACACAGGGGCAGAGAACUGAUGAUGAAAGGCAGCAUGGGCAGCAUCUGUCCAGGGUUUUUCCCCCCACUCUUCCUCUCCCACUUGCAGCCUCCAGCAUUUAAGGUCUGAUUCAGAGGCCAGGUCCCCAACUCCUGUGUUCAAUAGCUACCAAUGCCCCUUUCCUCCAAAAAUGUGUCCAUUCUCUUUUGGGGCCUCUGUAAAGCACCUCUCUGGUCA